UUUUUUCUUUUAAUAUCGUGUUCCAUUAUAACCCGAAUCAGAAGAUCCAUCGUCAUGAUACUCUUCGUCGCUAGCCUCUCGACUUUUGGAAAUGUUGUCAUCCUGAGUUUGUUUUCUUUGCUCUUCUUCUCGUUGAGCUUGCAUAAACAAUCUUGCUUCAUCAUCGGGAAUAGGUUCAUCUUGGCAUUUGGCCGCAUAAUCAUUUCGUAUUUGCUCGGCUCUCAUUUCAUAUUCUUUAGUUAGGCGCUGAUAACGAAGAAUUUUUCCAGCAUAAGCUUCUCUUUGUGCUGCAAUUUCAUCAAUCCAAGGUUUUUUACCUAAAUCAUCAAGCUGGCGCCAAGUUUUCCCUAGUUUGGCACGUGUUUCAUUAAUAGUAGCCUUCGCUGUACUAUCUCCUGUUAACCUUCGCUUGUCUUCAUCAGCAAGUGCACGGCAUACAUGCCACUGCAUUUUUUGGUAAAGUAAAAAGGGAUUUGCAUUCGGCUUGGAAGGAGGUUCAGGUAAAUAACCAAGAAGUUCAGUUACAAGCUGUUCCUGUUCUUCCUUAUGCUCGUCAAGUCUUUCCUGCUUUUUCAAC